CAACAAAACCCCUUUUUCCAGUUUCAGUUUCCAAGAGGACAAAGGUUUUUGAGCUCUAAAAAUACCUAACAAUAACAUUUGGGCAGUCUUUGGCAAUUUUGAAUGUCCUUUUCAUUUGCUAUACAAGUUCAAGUUCUGACUGUCUCUGUUACUUCCCAUAGAGUGAUAUUUGUAGUGGAGCCCUUGGCGCUCUACUACAUCCAGUGAUUAGUAGUUACGAAUCUUGACGACUAUACAAGGGAGCUGCCUAGGACCUCCUUAGAGCAAAAGGAACAUCUUCUACCACUGUGGUCACUUUCCAGCAACCUUUGUGGUUCUCCUUUCUAUAUUCCGGGCCCUGGAGCUGUGCUAGGACAAAGAGCAUGUGGACAAACAGCCCUUAUGCAAGGGAGCAACCUACGAAGUGCUGUGAGAGCUCAGCAUCAAAAUGAUUUAUACAGCAAAGCAUGGAGCUCUCUACCUCCUCUGACCCUCACAGCAUCUGUAGCUGUGGUGAUGCUCAGAAGUUAGAGCAGAUGCCGUGACUGGAUCUCCUAAGACUCUUCCUAACUGACAGACUUUGGUCGGGCCUUCACCCCCCUUCCUCUCAGGACGUCUGUGGGAGAACCAAACCCAUGGCAUCUGGUCCAAUAUAAACUCCUUCUGUCUGCCUUCCAUCACGGACCCUGCUGGAAUUUACCUUUUCCUCCCCCAGCUCCACUUCUGUGACGGCCACCUUUCACUUUU